GGUAUAUUGACUCCUCAUCAAAUAACAAGCCAUGUCCUAACCCCAGUUAAUGAUUGUACAGGUGGUCAUUUAUCCGUCAUUAAUAAAAGAAAAAGAUGGCUGAUCAAUCAAAAAAAAACGCACUAGGGAUAGCGAGGCCCUACAAAAUCUACUAACAACUCAAAAUAAAAAUACAUCUAUUUUAGCUUCUGAUAAUGUCCCCACUAUAUCUAGGGAGUUGAACCUAUUAUUGACUCCUCUUCAGAUAACAAGCCCUGUCUUACCCAUAUUUAAUGAUUGUACAGGUGGUAUAUUGACUCCUCAUCAAAUAACAAGCCAUGCCCUAACCUCAGUUAAUGAUUGUACAGGUGGUGAUUUAUCCAUCAUUAAUAAAAGAAAAAGAUGGCAGAUCAAUCAAAAAAAGAAACGUACUAGGGAUAGCGAGUCCCUACAAAAUCUACUAACAACUCAAAAUAAGAAUACAUCUAUUUUAGCUUCUGAUAAUGUCCCCACUAUUUCUAGGGAGUUGAACCUUAUAUUGACUCCUUUUCAGAUAACAAACCCUUCUUUAUUUCCUCCUUAUAAUUGUUUAAAUAAUGAUAUAUCUACCAUUAAUAAUCAACAAAUACAAAAUAAAUGUUCAGAAAAACA